rnacentral:rRNA from 1 species
AUGUUCCGAGCGAUGCAGGUCGUCCUCAGGGGCGAGGGCCGUCGUGCUGCGGCGGGCGGCUUCGCCGGCCACUGCGGCUACUCCACGGCCUCGGGCUCCCAGAGGCUGGCUGGUAAGGUGGCCGUGAUCACCGGCGCCGCUAGCGGCAUCGGCAAAGCGACGGCCGCGGAGUUCGUCAGGAACGGCGCCAAGGUCGUGCUCGCCGACGUCCAGGACGACCUGGGCCGCGCCCUGGCGGCCGAGCUCGGCGCCGGCUCCGCGUCCUACACCCGCUGCGACGUCACCGACGAGGCGCAGGUUGCCGCGGUGGUCGACCUCGCCGUGGCCCGCCACGGCAAGCUCGACAUCAUGCUCAACAACGCCGGCAUCGUGGGCUCCCUGGCGCGGCCCGAGCUGGGCGCGCUCGACCUCGCCGACUUCGACGCCGUCAUGGCGAUCAACACCCGGGGCGUCAUGGCCGGGGUCAAGCACGCGGCCCGCGUCAUGGCGCCGCGCCGCGCGGGCAGCAUCAUCUGCACGGCCAGCAUCGCCGGCGUGCUGGGCCAGCUGACGCCGCACCCGUACAGCGUCUCCAAGUUCGCGGUGGUGGGGCUCGUGCGCUCCGUGGCCGGGGAGCUGGCGCGCUCGGGCGUGCGCGUCAACGCCAUCUCGCCCAACUACAUCCUGACGCCGCUGGUGAAGCGCAUCCUGGAGGAGUGGCACCCGGAGGCGAGCGGCGAGGAGCACCGCCGGAUCGUGGAGAGCGACAUCAACGAGAUGGAAGGGGUGGUGCUGGAGGUGGAGGACAUCGCCAAGGCGGCGCUGUACCUGGCGUCCGACGACUCCAAGUACGUCAACGGCCACAACCUCGUCGUCGACGGCGGGUUCACGGUGGGGAAGGCACUCAACAUGCCGGCACCGGCACAGUGA